GCCUGGGUGGCUCAGUCGGUUAAGCAUCCGACUUCAGCUCAGGUCUUGAUCUCACAGGUUCGUGGGUUCGAACCCCGCGUCGGGCU
rnacentral:tRNA from 1 species